AACGAACGUUGGCGACGUGGAUAAGGCAUGCAAGUCGAACGAGAACGGUUUCUUCGGAGACUUAGUAAAGUGGCGAAAGGGUGAGUAAUGCAUGGUUGAUCUACCUUCAAGACCGGAAUAACCCAGAGAAAUUUGGGCUAAUACCGGAUGAAGUCAUGACUUUAGAGAUUCAUGAUGAAAGGGGUGCCUCUAUUUAUAUGCUACCGCUUGAAGAGGAGACCAUGUCCUAUUAGCUUGUUGGUGGGGUAAAAGCCUACCAAGGCGAUGAUGGGUAGCCGGCCUGAGAGGGUGUCCGGCCACACUGGGACUGAGAUACUGCCCAG
rnacentral:rRNA from 1 species